UGUGUGUGUGUGUGUGUGUGUGUGUGUGUGUGACAUGUUCACAUUCUCUUCAUGAACAUGUGAACACACACACACACACACACAAACUCACGUG
rnacentral:pre_miRNA from 1 species